UUUUAACCAAAAUGUUGUUCCUUUUAUUCAUUGUGUAAUGAGCAAAUUUUAAGCUGUAAUUUCCACUAUCUGCUGCAAUGCUGAAUAGACUCUUUAUCAUUGAUAAUUGAAAUUUAUUCUUGAAGAACAAGCAUGUGUGGCCUCCACGUUUUGCCUCUCUAUAAAUAUGAUGGAGAUUCACACUUUCAAAUUGGAGCAUCUCAAAUUUACCAAUAAUCAAUUCUGCCAAAAUAAAAGAAUAAGAAGGAACUGAAGAAAAGAGAUGAAAAAAAGGAAACAUCUGCCAGCAAGAAGAAAGAAUAAAAAGAACAGGGACGCAGAGAGAAGUAGAGUUAAGAUGAAGAAUUAAAACAGAAAAUAGAGAGAGGAUGAAGAAACGGCACUAAUUUAAAAAUGAAAUUAGGGUUGCUUUGUCUGUGAAGAAGAAUCACAGUAGAAGCGGCAUCUUUUUUUUUGGCUUUAUAUUGUUACCUAUUGGACAUAGACCACUGCUACUGCUUCUGAUGCAGGUGCUAAGGACGGGUCGGAGCGACGGGGAAGACUGGGCGGGUCCGCGAGAUCGCCGGCGCAGAAAAAAGAGAGGAGACGAGGGGUUGGGAAAACCAACGAGGGCAGGGGCACCGAGAUGCCGGAGACAAGAGAGAAUAUGUAUGGGAGAGAUAGAGAGCAGCUGUGUCGCAGAGAGAAGAAUGAGAGAGAGAGAGAGAGAGACGAGAGUGACAGCAGACGAAGCAGAGUGAAGAAGAAGACAAAGAGAGAGAAGCAAAGUGAAUAGAGAACGGUGAAUCGAGAAGAUGAAGUGGCGCACACUGAUUGAGAAACAAAAUUAGGGCUUCCUAAUGUCUACUGCAUUUUAUGUUAUUUUCUUAUCAUCCUUUUUUAAGUUU
rnacentral:lncRNA from 1 species